rnacentral:rRNA from 1 species
GGACUACAAGGGUUUCUAAUCCUGUUCGCUCCCCACGCUUUCGCUCCUCAGCGUCAGUAUCGGCCCAGAGACCCGCCUUCGCCACCGGUGUUCCUCCUGAUAUCUGCGCAUUUCACCGCUACACCAGGAAUUCCAGUCUCCCCUGCCGAACUCCAGUGAUGCCCGUAUCGACCGCACGCUCACAGUUAAGCUGUAAGUUUUCACGAUCGACGUGACACACCGCCUACGAGCUCUUUACGCCCAAUAAUUCCGGACAACGCUCGCACCCUACGUAUUACCGCGGCGGCUGGCAC